AAAUGCUCUCUGUUUUGACAAGCAGGAAAUGUUCAUGGAACAGUGACGAACAGUCCUCGAAAUGAUAGUCGCGGUUCCUCCGGCUCUUGGCGGCCGGCAGCGACCCCUUCGUCCCCAGGCAGACGGCCGUAGCUGCUCCCCUGGUGGAUGGCAACAGCGAGGACUCCGUGACAACGCAUCCCUUCUCCCUCCCGGGGGUUUUGGCAACACUGUAACAGUAUAAAAACGGGCAAGGAGGAGGUGGGAACUGGCUGAACAUGAUGGCGGAGGGAGACCUGAUAAGCCACACCAGAGUGUCAGAGUGGGAGAGAGAGUGGCAAAGGAAACUGGUGACUGAAUGACUGGCAGCUAUAUGCAGAGACUGCACACGUCCAGUUCUAUGAGAUACUAAAAAAGCCCUGUUUGAAUUGGCCACUGAGAGCAGUUUUUUGUUAACCUGACUGUGUGGAUAAAAUAAAUACU